CAGAACUCUACCGGGAUCUCGUCAGGCCCGGUCGCUCGACCCCUACUCAUCCUACGCAAAGCCCCCAUGACCUCCUCCCCCCUAAUGUGCCUGCAGUACCCAAGGUCUCUAUGUUGCUCUGAAUGCCCCAACUACCUAGCUCUAUGUUACGAUCCCCCACGUCGUUAAGUAAGUCCCGAAAGUGUGCCUGCCACCUCUGCUUGACUUGAGACUCC
rnacentral:lncRNA from 1 species